CAAAAAUUCACAUACAAACAAAAAUGAUAAAUGUAACAAAUUUAAAUAUAUUAUCCGUGCUACACGCGGAAAAAAGAUCUAGUAUCUUAUACUAUAAAAUUGGCUUAUCUGUCCUCUCACGCGUCCACAUCACUCUUUAGAGAUGGGCAUUCGUUGACACAUGUCAGUAUUUAAGUAGUCUACGUUUUUUUUCGUUUAUGGGCUGCAAAUGAAAAGGGCCCACUUAAAAGAAAAAUCGUCGUCUCCUUGCUUACCCUAGCAGCCGUCGGAUGAAACUGACAUUGUAACGCCAAAGGUCAUCAUCCUCCUUUCUAAUUAAGAUUUACAUUUACGAUCUCAAACCCACCUCCCACUACUUAACAUUGAUUUCUCCGACUCUUUUCUUUUGCCAUAUUCUAAUUUGCUCCUAUAAAUAGGCAUCGAGAAAUUGGAUCACUCACCACCUCCUUCACCAGAAAUCAGAGAGGUCGGGUGUGGAGUCUAGGGUCAUCGUCACUAUAAACAUCAAUUUCAAAUUCGUACGAGCGGAUCUUGGGAUAUGUAACAUGAAUUUAUACCGCCCAGAAAAAAAAUUGACAUAAGAUGAGAAAGAGGUCUGAUCAGAGGUCAAGGAGAGGUAUGCUUGUGUCCUUUUCGCAUCCGUAUCGAGAUUUACCAACGUAAUGCCAUGAACAAGGUUCUGUUUCAAGUAUGAUUAAUUUUUAUUAUCUAUUUUUGAUUUAACAUGAAAGCUGUGACUGUAUUUGUUGAUAAGAUGUUAUCUAUUUUUGAUUUAACAUGAAAGCUGUGACUGUAUUUGUUGAUAAGAUGAUCUUAAAAAUUUGUUAAAUGGUUAAUCUAUUAAAAAACAGAAGUAAUCAGCAUUACAUAGAAUUUUUUGUACGUAUACUAGAAUAAGGGUGAGUGUUUCAAAAAAAAAAAAAGUGUUUCAAAAAAAAAACUAGAAUAAGGGUGGAUACGAGGAAUAGGAUUGUAAAAUAUAUUAGCUUAAUUGCAGAACAUUUUUUUGAUGCUGCUUUAAAAUGAACAAACCAGAGAUUAUAGAAAAGUAUGUGUGCCAUCAUGAUCCAUGAGUUUUGUUUGGAUGAUGGUUUUGAUAUCUUGAUAAAUGGAAUUAGGAGAGCGAGAAAUGGACAUGGAGGAGGAUAAUCAUAGAUUUCUCUCUUUCCAAAAAUGAGAUGAAGGUUUGUAUGAUUGGCGCAAGGGAUAGCUUUUCUUCAGCCAAUCCAAUACUUUCUGAAAUAUUAAAACUGCUCAGAUGCAAUGGUAGAGGAGCGAGCACAUGUCGUGAGUCUCGUGACUGAAGGUGCAGCUGAUGAGAUCAUUUACUUUAGCUUGGAGUAUGAUUAUAUAUCCACUUCUGUCGUAACAUGUAUAUGUUUGUGGAAUGGAUCUGAAUUCUUUAAAAAUCUGACCAAGAUACUAACUUUUUUUUUUAGUUAAAACACGUGAAAGCUAAAGGUUAAUUAGUUUACUUCAGCAUUGUAAAUAAAAUUCAUAAAUUCCAUACAAUUUGCAUACGCUAUUGUCUUAAGUAUUAUUGUAUUUGGUGGAGCCUCCUUGAUGUAUAAAUAUUAAUAUUCAUAUUAUGAAAUUAGUAGCACAAA